GUGAUUCUGAUGAAGAUGAAGAUGUGAUAAACACAAAUGUAAUGGAAUCCAAAUUAAAUGAAAACAAAACUAUUGACAUAAAACAUACCAAUUUUUCAUCUCUAAAAUGUGCAUUUUGUGAUGUCUCCUUUACCCCAAAAAAAACUUGCAGCGACAUAUAAAAAAUAAGCACAAGUCAAUUGAUGAAGCUCAAGCAUAUCUUCAAUCAGGAAAUUCUUUGUGUCUCUAGUGUGGAUUUCAGUGCAGACAAAUUAAUGGUUUAAGAAAACAUUUAUCUGCAGUUCACCUUUAUACUUUUCAGAAAGAAAAAUUAUCAUUUGCUAAUGUUAAAGAAUUUGACAUGUGGAAAUCAGAUAUUGAAAGUAAUAAUGCAGCACAAUAUGUUUUAUCAUCUGGUGAAAAGUUCGAUAAAGAUGGUUGGAAAGUAUCAUACUAUCAAUGCAGAAGAAGUGGACUUUGUAGAUGCAUGGCAAAUAAAAGAAUAGUCAAAAGUAGUGGUACUCGAAAAAUUGCAAAAAAUUGCACAUCAACACUAAAAGUUUCCCAAUGCUCAGAAGGACAAGUUGUAGUUCAUGCUUGUUAUUCACGCUAUGGACAUAAAAAUGAAAUUCAACACAUUUCUCUAUCAAGUGUUCAAAGACAUGAAAUUGCUUGCAAACUAAAAAUGGGUAUAACUAAAAAUAGAAUCCUAGAUGAUAUUAGAGAUGAAAUAAGUUGUGUUCAAUCCAGAUUACAUUUAACUCAGCAGAAAGAUAUUACAAACCUAGAAAAAGCAUUCAAUAUUAAUUCUAUUCAACUUCAUGCCAAUGAUCAAAACAGUGUUGCAAUUUGGCUAAAAGAAUGGAAAAUGAAAUCAAAUAAUCCUGUUCUAUAUCAUAAACUACAGGGAGAGUCAGAUACAUCUAAUAUAUUUAAGGAUUCAGAUUUUAUCAUUAUACUGCAAACUGAACAUCAAAAGAAAAUGCUACACAGUUUGGAAAAAAUGGUGUUUGUAUUGAUUCUACACAUGGCACAAACGCAUAUGAUUUCCUUCUCACAUCAAUAUUAGUUGUUGAUGAAUUAGGCGAAGGGCAACCUGUGGGAUGGUGCAUAUCAAAUAGCGAUUCAGAUUUGUUAAAAUAUUUUUCCUCAAAUUAAAAGAACAUUCUGGAAGUUUUUUCCCAAUUUGGAUAAUGACUGAUUUGGUAUCCCAAUAUUAUGAAGCAUUUUGUGAAGUUUAUUUAUGUGCACCUCUAAAAUUCUGGUGUACUUGGCAUGUUGAUAAAGCUUGGAGAGAAGAGUUGCAUAAAAAAAUACAUAAUCUUGAAAUGGAAGCAGAUAUAUACAAACGUAUUAGAUUUGUUUUACAACUAAGUGAUCGGAAACUAUUUGAUGAUUAUUUACAAUCAUUAAUGGAUUACUUGCAAUCUUCAGAUUCAACAAAAUUAUUUGCUGAAUACUUCGAAAAAUAUUGGGUAAAUUAUAAACAAAUUUGGGCAUUUUGUUAUCGUAUGGGUCAUGGCAUAAAUACAAAUAUGUAUAUGGAAUCUUUCCAUAAGGUUUUUAAGUACAGUUACUUACAAGGUAAGCAUAAUAAAUGAAUUGACAAUUGCUUGUUUGCUUUGUUAAAGUUUAAUAAAGACAAAGUAUAUGAAAGAAUAUUAAAAUUAACAAGAGGGAAGAUAAGCUACAAACUAAAAAUGGUGCAUUCUAGGCACAUUGAAAGUCUACAACUGUGUGAAAAGUUUACCUUGGAUGAUAAAGGAGUAAGGUUAGUACAGUCAGAAUCAAAUGGUUACCAAUACAGAGUUUUAAAACACCAUGAAUUGUGUGAAAUAAAUGAGUGUCUUACAAUAUGUCCCGAAUGUAAAGUAUGUACUCCUUUAUAUAGUUGCGAUUGUAUGGAUUUUCUAACCAAAAAUAUCCCAUGUAAACAUAUUCAUUUAGUACAUCGUCUUAGCAAUCCUAAUGUGUCUGCAACAACUCAGCCUCUCGAUUUGCCAACAAAUUCAGUUGAAUUGGAAUUUAAAAUUAUAAAAGCUUGUGAACCUGGAGAUAUUAAUACUUUAAAAAACAACAUUAUUAAAAAUUUAAAAGAUCUCGUUAAUUUAGUUACUUUAAGUACAAUAUCCGAUGAGGAUGGUUUGCAGAGUUUACAGAAAAAUAUAUUGUUAGCUAAAAAUACUUUUUUAAGCCUAACAACAAAUAAGCAAAAUGAAUUACAUUUUAAAAAUGAUGCUCCAUCAAACAAAAGAAUAACUAAGCAGUCACCAUUUUAUUCAACAAAAAAAAGCGGAAAACAUCAAACAUUAGACUUGCAAAACCUUCGGCUGAUGAAAUAAAUAGUUUACUCGAUUUUUCUAACUGGACAAAAAAAAAACAGAAUCUCCAUUCGAGUCAUCAAGUAACUUUAAUGAAGGAAAACUUGACACAACAUCUAAUAGUGUUAUAAAAACAAACAUUUUACUGCCAGAUCAAAGAAAAAUAUUGAAAUUUUUUGGGUACAAAAAAUAGCAUGCAAGUCAUUUGUUAACUGAGAAUGAACUGCACAUAGAUGCUAAUCAUCCAUGCCCGGAAAUAAUUAACCAUGACAUUUCAAUUAUCCAAAAUCUAAUCAAUCCAAAAGUAUUUGACAAAAUUAAAAAAAAGGUGUUUUUAAUUAACCAAAGUUGGACUUGUACCAUUUGUAACAUACCUCAGUAUAAAGAUAUGAUUAAAUGUGAAAUUUGC